GAUGAACGCUAGCGGCAGGCCUAAUACAUGCAAGUCUAACGCUCAGUAGCAAUACUGGGAGUGGCGCACGGGUGCGUAACGCGUACACAAUCUACCUCUAAGCGGGGGACACCUCCUGGAAACGGGGAUUAAUACCGCAUAAUAUGCCGAAGUCGCAUGACUUUGGUAUUAAAGCAGCAAUGCACUUAGAGAUGAGUGUGCGUCCCAUUAGGUAGUUGGUGAGGUAACGGCUCACCAAGCCUAUGAUGGGUAGCCGGUCUGAGAGGAUGGUCGGCCACACGGGCACUGAGACACGGGCCCGACUCCUACGGGAGGCAGCAGUAAGGAAUAUGGUCAAUGGUGGAAACACUGAACCAGCCAUGCCGCGUGGAGGAAUAAGGU
rnacentral:rRNA from 1 species